UACGGAGGGUGCAAGCGUUAUCCGGAUUCACUGGGUUUUAAGGGUGCGUAGGCGGGCAGGUAAGUCCGUGGUGAAAUCUCUGAGCUUAACUCAGAAACUGCCAUGGAUACUAUUUGUCUUGAAUAUUGUGGAGGUAAGCGGAAUAUGUCAUGUAGCGGUGAAAUGCUUAGAUAUGACAUAGAACACCGAUAGCGAAGGCAGCUUGCUACACAAUCAUUGACACUGAGGCACGAAAGCGUGGGGAUCAAACAGG
rnacentral:rRNA from 1 species